rnacentral:rRNA from 1 species
UACGAAGAGGGCUAGCGUUGCUCGGAAUCACUGGGCGUAAAGGGUGCGUAGGCGGGUCUUUAAGUCAGGGGUGAAAUCCUGGAGCUCAACUCCAGAACUGCCUUUGAUACUGAGGAUCUUGAGUACGGGAGAGGUGAGUGGAACUGCGAGUGUAGAGGUGAAAUUCGUAGAUAUUCGCAAGAAUCACCAGUGGCGGAAGGCGGACUCACUGGCCCGUAACGUGACUGCUGAGGCACGGAAAGGCGAUGGGGAAGCAAAGCAGGG